AACUUCCGUGGUAUUUUUCCAUUUGGCCGGCCCACGAUGUCGACAUCCCUCACUAAGGUGGGGGGCGUAGUGGUCAUCACGCAAGUCAUCCCGCAGGAUGAAGCCUCCAUCCCGCUUCACAGUGUUCCGGGCGGCGCACAGGCCACGCCCACCACCGCACCGACCACACCCCCAGCCCGACGUCUUCUGCCCCCCACCAAGUUGGAUGAAUUAAGUGCAUCCUUUCUUCAGGGGGGGCCUCAGGGUCUUGGGGUGGUUCAGAUCAUCGUGGGGGUUUUAUGUGUUCUGUUCAGUCUGAGAGCCGCCUACUCGCCGCUCCUGGUCCUUCACGCUCCUCUGUGCCUCACCGUCACUUUUGUGGUUUCAGGCUCUCUGACUUUGGCAACACUGAAGAAAACGUCAGCGUCUUUGGUCUGGGCCAGUAUUGUGUCAAACAUCAUCAGCGUGCUGGUGGGCGUAGGGGGCGUGGCCUAUCUGUGCUUCCUGAUAGCUAUAUACCAGCCUGCUUACAUUUUCUGUGACGAUGAAACCUGGGGGGACGUAACUCCUACAGAGGAGGAGAGGAACAGAUGCUUGGGGAGGAUCAAAAUACUUGAUGCAUCAGAAUAUGGAUCUUUAGGCCUCCUCGUGGUUCUCCUGGUUCUGCAGGUCUGCGUAUCCAUCACCGUCUCCUUUUUCUCUGCUCGGGCCAUCAGACGCCACGGACGCACCGUCACAGAAGUCUUUGAUGAUGUUCGCCCCCUGCUUGAUGCCAUGGCAGCAGCCCCCGACAACAGUGUUGCCCCAGCUGUAUCGCCUAGAUGAAGAAGUCUCCAUCCGUUCUCCAAAGCCCACAUAAGCGGAAGAACGAACUGGUCAUUAAUCCUUAACUAUUACAUUAGGUGUCAGUAAAAAUGAAUGAAUUUGAAUGUGUGAGACAAAUUUGUCUUUUUUAACCCUUGGAUAGACCAGAGUCCCGAGUUCUGACAUCAUUCUCAAACCAGAACUAAGAUGAGAGCACGCCAUUGAUGCAGUCCAUACAGCACAUAAGAUUAAUGAUAACCAAAUUCAGAUAACAGCAACGCCCAAGCCAAAGAGCCACAAUCAAGCAAAUCUGCGUUUUCACCACACAGUCGUCUUUCAUCACUGAGAUUUUUGCAGCAAAAGUCUGUCCUUAGCUGUGCUGGUGUGUCUGUCGCUGCACCUGUGUGUUAAUGUUGGUCUGAAUGUGUGUGAUGUUGCCACUCGGUGCACCAGUUAGUGACACUGGGACGCUGCAUCCCCAUCACACCGAUCCAGGCCAAGAAUAGCACAGAUAGACAGAACAUCCAGUGACCCCCCCAGGACCAAAGUUGUCCAUCCCCUGGACAACCACCAUCCCACCCCCAGGACCGCCGAUGGAGCCUCUGCAGCCAUACGUGAUCAGAUGAUCAGGGACAGCACACUCCCCACACUUAAAUGCCCUCAACCCUUCUGUGGUGUUCGGGUCUGUGGGAGCCGUUUUCACUUUUUAUUAAAAAAUAAAGAUAAGUUCAAAGAAAUAAAAGUCAGUAGUUUUGAAAAACCUUGCUUCACUUGUAACUUUGUUUCUGCUCAUAUCUUGAUUUUAAUUGAUUUUCUUUAUUAUGUUUUAAAUAAUAAGUUAUAAAUGUGACCUAACAAAGGUAAAGGGCAAAUAUUAACCAUAUAUAUUGUUUAUACUGCUUGUAAUUGGGAUGAGGUAAACAUCUGUUCAGUAUUUUAACAUAAAAGUGUUUGAUUGUGAGGUAUUAAAAGCCACAAAAUGCAACGGGUCCAUCAGACCCACAAACGCUGGCUGAGUAACAACAAUAUGAACAUUACACAAGGGUUCAUUAGUAGAAGUUCACAUCUUCCUGUAAACCUGUCAACAGCCAGCAAAGAGCCCAACCUGAACCUGGCAGUCUCAAUAUUACUCUCCCACAUCCACAUGUUACAAGGGUAUUGUUGAGGAAGUCAUCUUUACAAGUUGUGCAUUUUUGUUCCUUUAUGACUGACAAAAUCAACCGCAGUAAUUAGCUGCAGUUAUUAACUACCAUGAAUAAAUAAAGGUGAAACAAUAGAGAGCCUUUUGUGCAAUUUCCUUAACAGAACAAUGUCUGAUGUGUGUGUGUGAGUGUUGUUUAGGAUUAUUUUGUUGUGUGAA
ensembl:lncRNA